CUGAUUAGCUAGUUGGUGAGGUAAAAGCUCACCAAGGCAGCGAUCGGUAGCUGGUCUGAGAGGACGAUCAGCCACACUGGGACUGAGACACGGCCCAGACUCCUACGGGAGGCAGCAGUGGGGAAUUUUCCGCAAUGGGCGAAAGCCUGACGGAGCAAGACCGCGCGAGGGAGGAAGGCUCUUGGGUUGUAAACCUCUUUUCUCAGGGAAGAAGCUCUGACGGUACCUGAGGAAUCAGCCUCGGCUAACUCCGUGCCAGCAGCCGCGGUAAUACGGAGGAGGCAAGCGUUAUCCGGAAUUAUUGGGCGUAAAGCGUCCGCAGGUGGCGAUUCAAGUCUGCUGUCAAAGCACGGGGCUUAACUCCGUUAAGGCAGUGGAAACUGAAUAGCUAGAGUGCCGUAGGGGUAGAGGGAAUUCCCGGUGUAGCGGUGAAAUGCGUAGAGAUCGGGAAGAACAUCGGUGGCGAAAGCGCUCUACUGGACGGCAACUGACACUCAGGGACGAAAGCUAGGGGAGCGAAUGGGAUUAGAUACCCCAGUAGUCCUAGCUGUAAACGAUGGAUACUAGGUGUAGCUUGUAUCGACCCGAGCUGUGCCGAAGCUAACGCGUUAAGUAUCCCGCCUGGGGAGUACGCACGCAAGUGUGAAACUCAAAGGAAUUGACGGGGGCCCGCACAAGCGGUGGAGUAUGUGGUUUAAUUCGAUGCAACGCGAAGAACCUUACCAGGGCUUGACAUGUCCGGAAUCCCGGUG
rnacentral:rRNA from 1 species